rnacentral:rRNA from 1 species
GAUGAACGCUGGCGGCGUGCCUAAUACAUGCAAGUCGAGCGAAGCGGGGACGGGUGAGUAACACGUGGAUAACCUCCUAUAAGACUGGGAUAACUUCGGGAAACCGGAGCUAAACCGAAUACUUAAAGUGGGUUCCGCGCUGCAUUAGCUAGUUGGUAGGGUAACGUCUUACCAAGGCAACAAUGCAUAGCCGACCUGAGAGGGUUAUCGGCCACACUGGAACUGAGACACGGGCCGGACUCCUACGGGAGGCAGCAGUAGGGAAUCUGCCGCAAUGGGCGAAAGCCUGACGGAGCAACGCCGCGUGAGUGAUGAAGGUCUUCGGAUCGUAAAACUCUGUUAUUAGGGAAGCGGUACCUAAUCAGAAAGCCACGGCUAACUACGUGUCAGCAGCCGCGGUAAUAC